rnacentral:rRNA from 1 species
CCAGACUCCUACGGGAGGCAGCAGUGGGGAAUAUUGCGCAAUGGGGGCAACCCUGACGCAGCAACGCCGCGUGAUUGAAGAAGGCCUUCGGGUCGUAAAGCUCUGUUGCGGGGGAAAAAAGGCAGCAUCAGGAAAUGGGUGCUGACUGAUGGUGCCCCGCCAGAAAGUCACGGCUAACUACGUGCCAGCAGCCGCGGUAAUACGUAGGUGGCGAGCGUUAUCCGGAAUGAUUGGGCGUAAAGGGUGCGCAGGCGGUCCUGCAAGUCUGGAGUGAAACGCAUGAGCUCAACUCAUGCAUGGCUUUGGAAACUGGAGGACUGGAGAGCAGGAGAGGGCGGUGGAACUCCAUGUGUAGCGGUAAAAUGCGUAGAUAUAUGGAAGAACACCAGUGGCGAAGGCGGCCGCCUGGCCUGUUGCUGACGCUGAGGCACGAAAGCGUGGGGAGCAAAUAGGAUUAGAUACCCCCGUAA